GACGAACGCUGGCGGCGUGCCUAAUACAUGCAAGUAGAACGCUGAAGGAGGAGCUUGCUUCUCUGGAUGAGUUGCGAACGGGUGAGUAACGCGUAGGUAACCUGCCUGGUAGCGGGGGAUAACUAUUGGAAACGAUAGCUAAUACCGCAUAAGAGUAGAUGUUGCAUGACAUUUGCUUAAAAGGUGCAAUUGCAUCACUACCAGAUGGACCUGCGUUGUAUUAGCUAGUUGGUGAGGUAACGGCUCACCAAGGCAACGAUACAUAGCCGACCUGAGAGGGUGAUCGGCCACACUGGGACUGAGACACGGCCCAGACUCCUACGGGAGGCAGCAGUAGGGAAUCUUCGGCAAUGGACGGAAGUCUGACCGAGCAACGCCGCGUGAGUGAAGAAGGUUUUCGGAUCGUAAAGCUCUGUUGUAAGAGAAGAACGAGUGUGAGAG
rnacentral:rRNA from 1 species